UUUUUUCAUUAUUAAACUCACUUAUUUUUGCUUGAGAUUAGUUUUUUUUUUUUUUUUAAGUGCAUAUUUUAGCUCCAUAAAACAUCCUUGAAUACCCUUUUAAGAGCGUGACGGCUUGAUGCACCUGCACGCCCAAUCACUUCUCGUCCUGAAGCCUCCUGCUUGCGCGAGCCACACCUCCUGUCCAAUGAGAAGCCCGGUUUGGAGCCGAGGGGCGGAGCCUCCAUAUGUUUGGGUCAAAAUGAGCCCCGUGUUAUUAGAAAGCUCAGUCUGUCGCUCCCAACACCUGAAUAAGCGACUCUACACCAAUCAUUUCACUUACAGCUCAAACGUUUACAGUCUUCACGUUUCAGGAGGAUGAGACCAGCAACUUAACAAGUAACUGCUUGCGCUUAGUUUUAAUUAAAAAAAUAUAUAUAUAUAUAUAU